rnacentral:rRNA from 1 species
UACGAAGGGGGCUAGCGUUGCUCGGAAUCACUGGGCGUAAAGGGUGCGUAGGCGGGUCUUUAAGUCAGGGGUGAAAUCCUGGAGCUCAACUCCAGAACUGCCUUUGAUACUGGCGAUCUUGAGUCCGGGAGAGGUGAGUGGAACUGCGAGUGUAGAGGUGAAAUUCGUAGAUAUUCGCAAGAACACCAGUGGCGAAGGCGGCUCACUGGCCCGGUACUGACGCUGAGGCGCGAAAGCUAGGGGAGCAAACGGG